rnacentral:rRNA from 1 species
UGGGCGUAAGGGCUCGCAGGCGGUUUCUUAAGUCUGAUGUGAAAGCCCCCGGCUCAACCGGGGAGGGUCAUUGGAAACUGGGGAACUUGAGUGCAGAAGAGGAGAGUGGAAUUCCACGUGUAGCGGUGAAAUGCGUAGAGAUGUGGAGGAACACCAGUGGCGAAGGCGACUCUCUGGUCUGUAACUGACGCUGAGGAGCGAAAGCGUGGGGAGCGAACAGGAUUAGAUACCCUGGUAGUCCACGCCGUAAACGAUGAGUGCUAAGUGUUAGGGGGUUUCCGCCCCUUAGUGCUGCAGCUAACGCAUUAAGCACUCCGCCUGGGGAGUACGGUCGCAAGACUGAAACUCAAAGGAAUUGACGGGGGCCCGCACAAGCGGUGGAGCAUGUGGUUUAAUUCGAAGCAACGCGAAGAACCUUACCAGGUCUUGACAUCCUCUGACAAUCCUAGAGAUAGGACGUCCCCUUCGGGGGCAGAGUGACAGGUGGUGCAUGGUUGUCGUCAGCUCGUGUCGUGAGAUGUUGGGUUAAGUCCCGCAACGAGCGCAACCCUUGAUCUUAGUUGCCAGCAUUCAGUUGGGCACUCUAAGGUGACUGCCGGUGACAAACCGGAGGAAGGUGGGGAUGA